rnacentral:lncRNA from 1 species
UGGUUAAGCUGUUUGAAUGCUGCAGAACCUUGACUCACCACGUUUACUGGAGGAGCCACGAAUCCAUGAUGAGGAAGGCAAGUUGCCUUUACUCUCACAGUCAGACUCCCUGGAAAGCGGUUCUGAGACAGAGAUUGGCAUUCAAGGAGUGAAUGGGGGAGUGGCAGAGGGCUCCUUGUGUCAACCACUGAAGGGAAAUGAAGCCCUCAGCACUGACUAGUCAUUGGCUGUGGACUGCCCCAGGAAGGAGGUAAGAUGUCAUACCCGCAGCUCUCUUCAGCUGAGGGUGAAACUUGGAAGGAAGGAUUCGCCUGUGAGCCAUCAACUGUCAGCAUUCCCAGAAGCUGAGAAUGAUGGAAUUGACUCUCCUGAACUCAUGCACAGAAGAAAAAAUAAAAUACCAUCAAUUAUUUUGUGUUACUAGCCUUGUCACGAUAACUAUUUUUUU